GGAAGAUUACUAUGACUAAGACCACCUCUCUUGUGAUUCCAAAAACAGCAGCCCAGAGACCCUCUGAGCUCUCCCAGACCACUGCAGCUGUGACCAGCAACCUUCCUCUGCCUGGGGCAUCCCUCAGCCAGUUCACUCAGCCAGGAAACUCUCGAGUUUGCUCUGCUUGGAGGAUUGCUGAAUGAUAAUGAUGGAUCCAGGGCUGAUACCCCAACUCCUUGAGGCUCAGCCCUGUGCCUGAUGAGAAGAUGCAAAGGCAUCUGAAGUGAGCAGUUCACUGAACUCAAGGGAAAUUUUUCACAGAACACCAGGAGAACUAGCAACGCCUGGAUGCUGAUUGUUUGGGUAAGGAGUGAAGUGAGGACUGUGAAAUGCAGUGGAAUCAUUACCUAUGCAACAAUGGAAGUCCUGGGGAAUGAAUGAACUCAAAAAGAAGAAGAGUUGCCUGAAGCACCAAUGCAGGAGGAUUUUGGAGGGAUUGCAGAAGAGCCAGUAACUCCCUAGUGGGAUUCAUGGAAAGCUGACAGAGCAUGAUGCAGAACUUCUUAUCUGUGAGAAUGCUGAUGUGAAAAAGCAUCAGUCCUGCUCUUGGCUCCCUGCUCAAAGCCACAUACGAGCAAGUGCAGAAAUACUCACUUUCAACCACAUGUUCCCAAUUGCUGUUGUGUUUGGCUUAUUUUUUUUUUUCCCUUUUUCUUUCACGACUCAAGUUUGUU